rnacentral:sRNA from 1 species
CUGCUCAGCUACAUGUGUGUUUCCUCAUCUCCCUUCUAGGUACAAGCAGAAUCGAUCUGGUCGGCUUACCAUAAAGAGUCUCUGUCUGUCAAAUGGAGGUAUCUUUCCUGAGACUCACCGUCCACUCCUUCUCCAAAAGCUACUCAAAGAUGGAGGUGUGCUGUCACCCAUCCUCACACGACUGAUGAACUUCUUUGUAUUCUCUCGAGGGUAAGUGUCACUGUCAAAGAUUGUGGCCUAGAGCAAUGUUGUGAAAAGUUGCUGCCAUUACAAUUCUGGGCCAAAUCCUAAGGCUUGAUAUUUUAAAGCAAAGGUGUUGGCCGCUUGCCAGGGAAGUAGAAGGAAUUCAUAAAUCACUUAUGGGUCAGACUGCAUGGCCCAGACUGCAUGGCCUCUGAGGUUCCAGCCAUAUUGAACAUUCUGAGUUCUCCUCACACUUAUCUUCCUGCGUUUUGGACUCUUUCAGUCUCACCCCAGUCUUUGGGCCGUAUACUCGGCCCUCUGAGAGUGAGCUGUGGGACAUGUGGGCAGGGAUCCGCAACAAUGACGGGAACUUAGUCAUUGACAGGUAAGAAAUUACCCUUUGCUUUGGUUUCCAGAGAAGUGUUUUUGUGGAGAGUGGGGAUUGCUUGUUCUGUUCCUUGCUGGCUUAUUCCCUAUCACAGGAAGGCUGAUGAUGACCUAUGGGGCAAACCAAAAAGUCAUGGUCUAUAUGAAGGAAGAAAUAGAAAAUAGAGUGAAACUGG